rnacentral:rRNA from 1 species
GACAGAGGCCACGAGCGUUGUUCGGAAUUACUGGGCAUAAAGCGCGCGUAGGCGGCUGGGUCCGUCCGAUGUGAAAGCCCCCGGCUCAACCGGGGAAGUGCAUCGGAUACAGCCCGGCUUGAGGACGGUUGGGGUGAGUGGAACUCCUGGUGGAGCGGUGAAAUGCGUAGAUAUCAGGAGGAACACCGGUGGCGAAAGCGGCUCACUGGACCGUUACUGACGCUGAGGUGCGAAAGCUAGGGGAGCAAACGGG